rnacentral:lncRNA from 1 species
GAGCGUGGAGACGUACAAGAUCUACAUCUUCAAGGUGCUGAAGCAGGUGCACCCCGACAUCGGCAUCUCCUCCAAGGCCAUGUCCAUCAUGAACUCCUUCAUCAACGACAUCUUCGAGAAGCUCGCCGCCGAGGCCGCCAAGCUCGCCCGCUACAACAAGAAGCCCACCAUCACCUCCCGGGAGAUCCAGACCUCCGUCCGCCUCGUCCUCCCCGGGGAGCUCGCCAAGCACGCCGUCUCCGAGGGCACCAAGGCCGUCACCAAGUUCACCUCCUCCUAGAUUGCAUCUGCAUUGCUUGUAUCUAUCUAUCUAUCUAUCUAGUAGCGACUGUAGCUGGUUCUGUUACUUCAGUGCUUAUCGACUCUGGUUAUCUGGAACUACAAAUGCUGUUAGUGCUGAAUGGGGAAUUGAUUGAUGGAUGAUUGCCAAUGCUCUGUUGCCUCUUUGGCUGUAA